rnacentral:tRNA from 1 species
GGGCCCGUCGUUCAACAGCAGGACACCGUUCUCGCAUGUCGGUGAUAGGGGUGCGACUCCCCUCGGGUCCA